GGGAGUACAAGAAUUUUUUUUCUUCUCAUUUUUCUUCCCGACUAGUUCCGGGUUCGAGUCCCGGGCAACCCA
rnacentral:tRNA from 1 species